AAUGAACGCUGGCGGCAUGCCUUACACAUGCAAGUCGAACGGCAGCAUGACCUAGCUUGCUAGGUUGAUGGCGAGUGGCGAACGGGUGAGUAAUGCAUCGGAACGUGCCUUUUAGUGGGGGAUAACGUAGCGAAAGUUACGCUAAUACCGCAUAUUCUCUGAGGGGGAAAGCAGGGGACCUUCGGGCCUUGCGCUAGAAGAGCGGCCGAUGUCGGAUUAGCUAGUUGGUGAGGUAAAGGCUCACCAAGGCAACGAUCCGUAGCGGGUCUGAGAGGAUGAUCCGCCACACUGGGACUGAGACACGGCCCAGACUCCUACGGGAGGCAGCAGUGGGGAAUUUUGGACAAUGGGCGCAAGCCUGAUCCAGCCAUGCCGCGUGAGUGAAGAAGGCCUUCGGGUUGUAAAGCUCUUUCGGCUGGGAAGAAAUCGCACCCUCUAAUACAGGGUGUGGAUGACGGUACCAGAAUAAGAAGCACCGGCUAACUACGUG
rnacentral:rRNA from 1 species